rnacentral:rRNA from 1 species
AGUGUAGAUUCAGAGUUUGAUCCUGGCUCAGAGCGAACGCUGGCGGCAGGCCUAAUACAUGCAAGUCGAACGGAUCCUUCGGGAUCAGUGGCGGACGGGUGAGUAACGCGUGGGAACGUGCCCUUUGGUACGGAACAACUGAGGGAAACUUCAGCUAAUACCGUAUGUGCCCUUCGGGGAAAGAUUUAUCGCCAUUGGAGCGGCCCGCGUUGGAUUAGGUAGUUGGUGAGGUAAAGGCUCACCAAGCCUACGAUCCAUAGCUGGUCUGAGAGGAUGACCAGCCACACUGGGACUGAGACACGGCCCAG